AGGCUCUGGAAAGUGUUUGACACGCCGAAGGGGCAAGCCUUUGUGGCGAAUCUCUCAGGUAAUAUACAGAGCACAGGGG
rnacentral:ncRNA from 1 species